GCACCCGUAGCUCAGCUGGAUAGAGCACCGGACUUCGAAUCCGGGUGUCGCAGGUUCGAAUCCUGCCGGGUGUACCA
rnacentral:tRNA from 4 species